CCUUACCUGGCCUUGACAUCCAGAGAACUUUCCAGAGAUGGAUUGGUGCCUUCGGGAACUCUGAGACAGGUGCUGCAUGGCCGUCGUCAGCUCGUGUCGUGAGAUGUUGGGUUAAGUCCCGUAACGAGCGCAACCCCUAUCCCUGGUUGCUAGCAGGUAAUGCUGAGAACUCCAGGGAGACUGCCGGUGACAAACCGGAGGAAGGUGGGGAUGACGUCAGGUCAUCAUGGCCCUUACGGCCAGGGCUACACACGUGCUACAAUGGCGCGUACAGAGGGCUGCCAACUCGCGAGAGUGAGCCAAUCCCUUAAAACGCGUCGUAGUCCGGAUCGGAGCCUGCAACUCGACUCCGUGAAGUCGGAAUCGCUAGUAAUCGCGAAUCAGAAUGUCGCGGUGAAUACGUUCCC
rnacentral:rRNA from 1 species